rnacentral:misc_RNA from 1 species
UUUUAUCCACUGGUAGUCCUAAGGGUUGGACCAACAUUUUUGUUUAGUAGAAGUUGUCCAUCAUUACAUUGUCAGUUGGUAACAUCUCCUUUAUCAAUUGGCAUAUGUCAUUAAGGAAUCUUUCAAACAAAUGAUGUUCUACCUUUAUGUUAAGCAUCCGUGCAAUGGCUAAUAAUUUAGAAUGGUUUUCACAUCCACUCUAUAACUCUUGAUUAGCUACUAUUAACAUAUCAUAUAAUUUCUAAGUUGAUGGAUUUAGGGGUUCCUCUGUAUCAUUCUAGAAUAUAGUAGGGUUCCUCUGUAUCAUUAUAGAAUACAAUAGGUCUCACAGCAUCCAUGUCCAUUUGCUCAUAACCAUUAUAAGAAGGUUGCUCAUCUAAUUAGACAUUCACUUCAUGCAUAUAUUCCCCACUUUGAUUCUCAAUAGUCUACUGACAGCUUUUCCCAUGAAAAUAAAGGAGCGAAAGCAUUAAAAACAAAAGUUUAUAUUAUUGAAUUCAAAAAUUUUUCACCUAGGGUCACAUGCAUC